GAUGGCCCCUGGGCCGGCGAUGGUUCAUUCAAAUUUCUUCCCUAUCAACUUUCGAUGUUUGGGUAUUGGCCAAACAUGGUUGCAACGGGUAACGGAGGGUUAGGGCUCGACCCCGGAGAAGGAGCCUGAGAAACGGCUACUACAUCCAAGGAAGGCAGCAGGCGCGCAAAUUACCCAAUCCCGACACGGGGAGGUAGUGACAAUAAAUACUGAUACAGGGCUCUUUUGGGUCUUGUAAUUGGAAUGAGUACAAUUUAAAUCCCUUAACGAGGAACAAUUGGAGGGCAAGUCUGGUGCCAGCAGCCGCGGUAAUUCCAGCUCCAAUAGCGUAUAUUAAAGUUGUUGUGGUUAAAAAGCUCGUAGUUGAACCUUGGGCCUGGCUGGCCGGUCCGCCUCACCGCGUGUACUGGUCCGGCCGGGCCUUUCCCUCUGUGGAACCCCAUGCCCUUCACUGGGUGUGGCGGGGAACCAGGACUUUUAC
rnacentral:rRNA from 1 species